UACGUAGGGUGCGAGCGUUGUCCGGAAUUAUUGGGCGUAAAGAGCUUGUAGGCGGUUUGUCGCGUCUGCUGUGAAAAUCCGGGGCUCAACCCCGGACUUGCAGUGGGUACGGGCAGACUAGAGUGUGGUAGGGGAGACUGGAAUUCCUGGUGUAGCGGUGGAAUGCGCAGAUAUCAGGAGGAACACCGAUGCGAAGGCAGGUCUCUGGGCCACUACUGACGCUGAGAAGCGAAAGCAUGGGGAGCGAAACAGG
rnacentral:rRNA from 1 species